rnacentral:rRNA from 1 species
CGCGUAGGCGGCAUAGAAAGCUUGAUGUGAAAGAUCCCGGCUCAACCGGGGAGACGCAUUGGGAACUACUGAGCUAGAGUCUAGGAGGGGAUGCUGGAAUUCCUGGUGUAGGGGUGAAAUCUGUAGAUAUCAGGAAGAACACCGGUGGCGAAGGCGAGCAUCUGGCCAUAGACUGACGCUGAGGCGCGAAAGCGUGGGGAGCGAACAGGAUUAGAUACCCUGGUAGUCC